rnacentral:rRNA from 1 species
UCUUUCCUCCCGAGUGCUUGCACUCAAUUGGAAAGAGGAGUGGCGGACGGGUGAGUAACACGUGGGUAACCUACCCAUCAGAGGGGGAUAACACUUGGAAACAGGUGCUAAUACCGCAUAACAGUUUAUGCCGCAUGGCAUAAGAGUGAAAGGCGCUUUCGGGUGUCGCUGAUGGAUGGACCCGCGGUGCAUUAGCUAGUUGGUGAGGUAACGGCUCACCAAGGCCACGAUGCAUAGCCGACCUGAGAGGGUGAUCGGCCACACUGGGACUGAGACACGGCCCANACUCCUACGGGAGGCAGCAGUAGGGAAUCUUCGGCAAUGGACGAAAGUCUGACCGAGCAACGCCGCGUGAGUGAAGAAGGUUUUCGGAUCGUAAAACUCUGUUGUUAGAGAAGAACAAGGACGUUAGUAACUGAACGUCCCCUGACGGUAUCUAACCAGAAAGCCACGGCUAACUACGUGCCAGCAGCCGCGGUAAUACGUAGGUGGCAAGCGUUGUCCGGAUUUAUUGGGCGUAAAGCGAGCGCAGGCGGUUUCUUAAGUCUGAUGUGAAAGCCCCCGGCUCAACCGGGGAGGGUCAUUGGAAACUGGGAGACUUGAGUGCAGAAGAGGAGAGUGGAAUUCCAUGUGUAGCGGUGAAAUGCGUAGAUAUAUGGAGGAACACCAGUGGCGAAGGCGGCUCUCUGGUCUGUAACUGACGCUGAGGCUCGAAAGCGUGGGGAGCAAACAGGAUUAGAUACCCUGGUAGUCCACGCCGUAAACGAUGAGUGCUAAGUGUUGGAGGGUUUCCGCCCUUCAGUGCUGCAGCAAACGCAUUAAGCACUCCGCCUGGGG